rnacentral:misc_RNA from 1 species
CUAUAAUAGUCUUCUAAUCUAUCUAGGUUUCCUUUUAGAUCUAGAAUCAUUGCAUAUAAAUAGGAGAAAGUGUACAAAGGUUUUAUAUAUAGAAAAUAUAGAAUUUUCCUCUCCCAAAUACCUAGUUCAACAACACCAAACUCAACUGCUUCCUAUCAAAACCCUUGUAAUUGAGAAGGUCAUACAAGAAUAAUAAGCAAUCUAAGUCACAAACACAAGCAGUGCAAAGAUUGAUGACGACAAAAAAAGGAAAAGAAGUUAUAAUCAAAGUCAUAGCGAAAAUAAGCAUAACCCGAAUUUCCAACCGCAGGAGUUAUAAUGACUAGAAUAAUGGUAAAGUGAACACAGAGCACCAACGUAAAGGAACUGAGCAAAUCGUAUGAAGCCAAUGCGAUGUUCAUAGCCUUACCAAGACUAUAAAGAUAUGGGGAAGAGAAGUUCAUAUAUGGAAUUGGUAAAAUUUGCAUCAUCUUUGGCAGCAAAUAAAUUCAAUCCACAAGCAAUGAAGUUGUGAAUUUCUCAAAGCUUUACCAAAGCUAAAAGCUACACACAUUGAAUCCAAAAUGAUGUUCCAUUUUUCACUAACUCAAAAUGUCUUUCAACUUUUGUUGGUGAUCCUACUUGUGGGCUUGGUGUUGAUCUUGUACAUGUGUCUUCUGGAUCUUCACCAACAACUACAAGCUACCCUCCAAUUCAGGUCAGCAUGGUGGAUUUUGAGAUUUGGAUUGUUUUUGUUCUUAGGCAUCAUAAAGCAUUUUCUCAAUGCAUCCUUGCUUACCAUGCAUUGGAAAGUUUUGUUUCUCUAUUUCUCUCCUCACCAAAUUUGUAGUUUUAAUUUGAGUUUGUUGAAUUUUUUGUUUUAAUUAUUUGAUAUUUGAUUUUGGGUUUGUUGAAUUUUUAUUUGUUGAUUUUGGAUGUUAGAUUUAUUGUUUUGAAGUUUCAACUUUUGUGUAAAUUUAGGUGUAUUUUUUAUUAAGGGGAGAAUCAUAAGUAAACCAGGAAACAAAGGGAAGAAUCAUGGGUAAAGGAUAGAUAAUGGGAGCUUCUCUAUGCUUAUCGAGUUGCAUGUGGUGUUGGUUUGGUAGGAUUGCGAAAAACAAGUAAAGAGGGAGAAGGUGAACAUUACAACUCGUCAAGUAAAACAAAGAGGGAGGAAAGGAGAGGCACUGGUGAUGGAUGUUGGAUGGUGACAGAUGAGGGGUUGCAAUUAGGCUACGGCAAAAUUAGAGAGGGGGAGAGAGAGACUCAAAUGGAGAGAGAGGAGAGAGAAAAUAUUUUUUUCUCUAACGUCUAACAUGUCAACAGGUUAAUCGAGAAACCAACCAUCUCAGGUUACAAGAGCUUUAUUGAUAAUUAAAUUGAUGUCCAAAAAAGUUUUGUGUUACAAUUAAAGUUUAGAGACAAGACUAUUACAAAGCUUAAAGUUCAAGAACGAUGUGUGAAAUUUACCUAUGAAUAAACUAGAAAGAAAGACAAUAAGUUGUGAAUUGCAACUUGAUAACACUUACGCUUUAUAGUAUUUAUUUGUCAACCAAUAAACACCACAAGAUAAUUUUAAAAUAACAGUCACAAUAAAGGCAAAAGACAUGACAACUGCAAGAAAAAUAAAAUCUAUACAAAUGCAUCAUGGCCAAGUCUUCCCUAAAUCAACACUCAAAUCAAAUUGGCAUCUUAUUUGUAGCUGCAUUCAUCUGUUAUUUGAUAUGAAUCACAAAUGGCCAUUAAUAAACUCGCAUAUCCUUCUAUCAAGAAAGGAUUAGAAGUUACAUCAAUUGUUGAGGGAUACGUCCUUUUUAAAGUCUUAAAAUCGCAUGAAUUACCAUACAGCAAAAAAGAGGGGAAAAAAAUAUUUAUCUUAAAAAAAUUGGCCAAGUAUAACUCACCCUCAAAGACUAACUCAAGGAGAAGAAGGCCCAAGGCUUUAUAAGGGGGCACAUUACCCUGUCCCAAACCAAUGUAAAUAUUAAUACCACCCACACCCCCCACCCUAUUAUUUGGUGAGGCUCUGAUUCUAUGCCUAACUCACCCCAAAAGUUUGCCCAAGAGCUAGCUUAAGAAAGGAGGAGCAGUGUCCAAGGCUUUAUAAGGGGCUUAUUACCCUAUCCAAACCCAUGGGAUACUAGCAAUUUAGAAGUACUUUAAAAUAGCUGGAAAGUUAUAAUUAUAAAGUAGUGAUAUCUAGCCAGAAAAGGGAACUAAGAAUUAGUUUGCAGAAAUAUUUAAAAUGCUGCCAUAGAUUAAAACGAUAUAAUUAAAACUCCUGACACAACAAAAAACUUGAGAGCAAGAUUCCUGCAGCAUCCUCUAAUAUAAAACUAUAUUCUCAUAGUCAAAUGGUAAUCCAUGAACAUCUCCAUUAUCGACAAAAAUGGGAAAUUUUCCUUGCAAGCAUACCAUAAACUAGUGCGUACAAAUUCUAUAAGUAAUAAACCUCAGCCAAGGAUAAC